GGAAGGAUCAUUACUGAGCUAAUGUUCCGUCCCGAACGAUCUUUGGCGCUGCCUCUGGACCAACUGCCUAACCGGCGGUGGGUCCUGCCAAAGCGUUCGCCCAGUGGGUGGGAAACCCUCGCUGGGAGUGACCGGUGGGAAGCCGCGAUCCCGCCGUUCGCAUACGAGGAACGGGAAGCCGCGAUCCCGUUCCUUAUGCCUGCCCCACGGUUGUGUGUGAAGCCUCGAUCACACACAGGUGACGCCUCGAUCACUAACCGUGUGCAGAUGCGUGACUGACCGAUGUGGAUCCCAGAUCCCACCCCGCUCGGGGAUUCGAUUCAAAAUUUCUACGAGUACGCUUGAACUGCCUGAAGCGAACGAGUAGAUGGCCCGUGGAUCGGAUCCCAACCCGCCCGGGGAACUGGGAGAAGCGAAGUCGGUUGCAUGUGUGGGUUAGCUGCUAGAGAAAUCUAGUACCUACUCCGUCAAGCGCUUGAAGCCUCGAUCGCGCUUGUGAAACCCGUCCCCGGUUGGAAGCCGCGAUCCGACUGGGGGCGCCAUUCUCUAGCCUGACAAGGGGAGUUAUUCCCGGUCAGGUUCAGGUACCUACGCUAGAGAGGCGGAUGCCACUAGACACUCGCUCCUGCCGCAACUGUUUCUGGUGAGGAGAAGGUUUAAUGAGCGGCGGAUCUUGCCGACACCUGAGACCCUUUACGAUUUCAAUUUUUUUGAAAGGCUCGUGAGGGCCGAAAAACUACUAUUCUAAGCGGUGGAUCACUAGGCUCGUGGGUCGAUGAAGAACGCAGCCAGCUGCGAGACUUAAUGUGAAUUGCAGACACAUUGAUCAUCGACAUUUUGAACGCAUAUUGCGGCGUUGGGUAUCAUUCCCAACGCCACGUCUGUCUGAGGGUCGAUUUAUCGACAGCAAUUGUUUGGCCCGAGACGCGAUGUGGAACCUUUCGCCCGCUAGGUUCCGUCUCGGGCUGGGCAGAAAUGGUGAGCUGCUGAACCCGCCCGGAGUCCCCCGUGGGCGCUGUACGCCUCUACAGCGGUAAAUCUCGAUACAGCCCGCGCAUCCAAGACUCGGUUCGGUACCUCGCUUGAGUACAGAUGGCCAUGGCCUCGUCUAUGGCAUCCUACUUCAACAUUGGAGACGGCGGUCGUCCUCUGUCCCGAAUCUUACAGAGCGCCCUGGCGACUACUGGAUCCAUUCACGACCUCAGAUCAGGCGUGAUUACCCGCUGAAUUUAAGCAUAUAACUAGGCGGAGGAAAAGAAACUAACAAGGAUUCCCCCAGUAACGGCGAGUGAACGGGGAAGAGCCCAGCACCGAAUCCCUUAGCGCAUGCUGAUGGGACCUGUGGUGUAUAGGAGAGCACGUCUGGUGCUGCAGCCAUUCCUAAUUCCUCUUGACCGGGGAUCCCGCAGAAGGUGCAAGGCCUGUGCGGAUGGUGGCGGCGCCAGUAUGAGCCUCCUUGGAGUCGGGUUGCUUGAAAGUGCAGCCCAAAGCGGGUGGUAAACCCCAUCUAAGGCUAAAUAUGACCACGAGACCGAUAGCAAACAAGUACCGCGAGGGAAAGUUGCAAAGAACUUUGAAGAGAGAGUUCAAGAGGACGUGAAACCGCUUGGAAGCAAACAGGUGGACCCGGCGUUAGUCCACUGGAUUCAGCCUACUCUUACUCAGCGCGUCGGCGUUCGAUUUAUCGACGGCCUCUCCGGCGCUCCCUGGGUUGGAUGGGUGCAUUUCCAGCGGAUGCGCACCAAGGGCGGCUGGCGAGCAGCGUGAAGCGGGCAGGAGAGGGCCGGUGCUUCGGCACCGGUGUCCGACUCCCGUGGAAUGCGUGUUUCGUCGGCCGUGACUCUUUGGCGCCCGCCCUUGGCUUGGUUUUCGUGGCGGCUUGGGGAGCUGACCGGUCCGGUGUUCCUGUCUCAGGACCCGGCAAACCCUCCCCUCGCCCACUGCGGAUCCCGAGCCGGCGCCUCACUUUGGUGUUCCAGUCGGAAACCCACCUGACCCGUCUUGAAACACGGACCAAGGAGUCUAACAUGUGCGCGAGUUAUUGGGUUGCAAAACCUAAAGGCGUAAUGAACGUGAAGACUGGUUCGGCCAGUUGAUAUGGGAUCCCGGGCUUCGGCCUGGGCGCACCAUAGUCCCAUCUCAUCUGCAUCGCCAGAGAGGUGGAGAUAGAGCGUACACGUUGGGACCCGAAAGAUGGUGAACUAUGCCUGAGCAGGACGAAGCCAGAGGAAACUCUGGUGGAGGUCCGAAACGGUUCUGACGUGCAAAUCGAUCGUCAGACUUGGGUAUAGGGGCGAAAGACUAAUCGAACCAUCUAGUAGCUGGUUCCCUC
rnacentral:misc_RNA from 1 species